rnacentral:rRNA from 1 species
CGUGCCUAAUACAUGCAAGUCGAGCGAACAGAUAAGGAGCUUGCUCCUUUGACGUUAGCGGCGGACGGGUGAGUAACACGUGGGUAACCUACCUAUAAGACUGGGAUAACUUCGGGAAACCGGAGCUAAUACCGGAUAACAUUUGGAACCGCAUGGUUCUAAAGUGAAAGAUGGUUUUGCUAUCACUUAUAGAUGGACCCGCGCCGUAUUAGCUAGUUGGUAAGGUAACGGCUUACCAAGGCAACGAUACGUAGCCGACCUGAGAGGGUGAUCGGCCACACUGGAACUGAGACACGGUCCAGACUCCUACGGGAGGCAGCAGUAGGGAAUCUUCCGCAAUGGGCGAAAGCCUGACGGAGCAACGCCGCGUGAGUGAUGAAGGGUUUCGGCUCGUAAAACUCUGUUAUUAGGGAAGAACAAACGUGUAAGUAACUAUGCACGUCUUGACGGUACCUAACCAGAAAGCCACGGCUAACUACGUGCCAGCAGCCGCGGUAAUACGUAGGUGGCAAGCGUUAUCCGGAAUUAUUGGGCGUAAAGCGCGCGUAGGCGGUUUCUUAAGUCUGAUGUGAAAGCCCACGGCUCAACCGUGGAGGGUCAUUGGAAACUGGGAAACUUGAGUGCAGAAGAGGAAAGUGGAAUUCCAUGUGUAGCCGUGAAAUGCGCAGAGAUAUGGAGGAACACCAGUGGCGAAGGCGACUUUCUGGUCUGUAACUGACGCUGAUGUGCGAAAGCGUGGGGAUCAAACAGGAUUAGAUACCCUGGUAGUCCACGCCGUAAACGAUGAGUGCUAAGUGUUAAGGGGGUUUCCGCCCCUUAGUGCUGCAGCUAACGCAUUAAGCACUCCGCCUGGGGAGUACGACCGCAAGGUUGAAACUCAAAUGAAUUGAC